GAGCUCGAGCUCCUCGAGAUCAUCGUCAAGGCUGGCCCCGGCGCCAAGCUGAGUCCCGACGACAUCGCCACCCAGCUGCCCACCGAGAACCCACAGGCGGCCGAUAUGGUAGACCGGAUCCUCCGCCUGCUCGCCGCCAACGGCGUCGUCAGUUUCUCUGUGGAGUCCGGCGACGAUGGGCGCCCCUCGUGCAAGUACGGGGCCACGCCUGUCUGCAAGUACCUGACCAAGAACGAGGACGGCGUGUCCAUGGCCGCUUUCUGCUUGCUGAUCCAUGACAAGGUCACCAUGGAGAGCUGGUAGUCGACGGAGCCAACAACGUCUACUCUUACUCGUUACUUCUCGCACUAAAAAGUUAGCCGAAGGAUUAAUCAGCUUAGUGUUUUUGCCUCCACAACGAUCGCAGGUACUACAUGAAGGAUGCGGUGUUGGAGGGCGGCAUCCCAUUCAAGAAGGCCCACGGCAUGACGGCGUUCGAGCACCACGGCGGCGAUCCACGGUUCAACAAGCUGUUCAACGACAGCAUGAGGAACCACUCCACCAUCUUGAUCAAGCAACUGCUGGAGACCUACCGCGGCUUCGACGACGUCAAGGUGCUCGUCGACGUCGGCGGCGGGACCGGCGCCACGCUCCACAUGAUCACCUCCAGGCACCCGCACAUCAAGGGCGUCAACUUCGACCUCCCUCUUGUCAUCGCCAGUGCACCGACCAACCCAGGUUCGCCAUUUAUAUCAGACAUUCGUCACAGUCAUAGUGCCUACCUCUUACAACGAAGCAAAAGAAUUCGUAAACUUGGGAUGCGUUGGCUCCAUGCAGAUGUAGAGCACGUAAGCGGCGACAUGUUUGAGAGCAUUCCGGGUGGAGGAGACGCCAUUUUCAUGAAGGUCAACAUUUAGAUUUUUUCCUUAACUCAUUUAAUGUUUGAGGUUUUGGUUAGGCAGCAUGUCGAACUUAUCAAAAAAAUUUGAAGGUUAUUAAUGAAAGAUACCACUCUUCAAACUACUCGAGACAUAUCAAUCAACCAAAUGAAAAGGGUAAAUCAAGCGGGACAAACAAUCAAAAAGAAUGAAGGAAAAAUAUUUACACUUUAAGAUCGAGGAGAUGGAGUCAAAGAAAAAGCACACAAGACACAAAUAUCGUCCUCCGCUUCCUCAUAGGGUGGAGACGCGGAGUUAUGCAUCUAUUCGCAACAAGUUUGACAUCUCAUUAGUCUUUAUCGACGUAAUUUUGCAGUGGAUUCUUCACGACUGGACUGAUGAGCAGUGCGCGAGAAUACUAAAGAACUGUUGGAAGGCUUUGCCGGAGGAAGGGAAGGUGAUAGUAGUGGAAUACUUGCUUCCCGUGAUUCCGGAGCCCGAUUCCAGAUCGCAAGGUGUUUUUUUCUUGGACAUCGGGAUGAUGAUACACACUGGAGGGAGAGAGAGGACACAGGAAGAGUUUGAGGCAAUGGCGAAGGAAGCAGGGUUUACAGGGUUCAAGGCCACCUACAUAUCUCUCUAUUCUUGGGUUAUGGAGUUCACAAAGUAGAUAAAAGAAAGAUCUAUGUCAUGUGCUGCUGUAGUAGAGUAGAAGAUAUACAUGCCUUAUGUAUUGCUUUCAGCUCCCUGCUGCCAUAGUAAGCUACCACGAGGUCGAGAGACCUCCGAAUGGACUUUGCUACGCUUUGAAAUCAGACUUUGCGACAGUGCUGUAAUAAGAUUCCAAAAGUUAUAUGUUUAUGAAGGUUUUGCUCGUAUUUGUUGGAAAAAGUUCACAUUUCAAACAGAGAUUUGAAUAGGAUUUAUAAUGUGUAUAUACAUUAGAAAUAUUUUUCUUUAUAUAAUUUUUUAAGUUAUUUUUUAAAAAUAUUUAUUUUGAUUGAAAGUUUUUACGUUUGUUAUUUGUUAAAUAAAGUUGCAUACUAAAUCUCUUCCAGACUCGUCUAAUAUAUUAUUUUUGAGAUAUUUAUAAUAAUUCUUGAUAUUUAUCCCUAAAUAUCUCAAUGCCAAUAACAUAAAAUAUUUUAUUCAUAUCAAUCAUCUUAAAAUUCUUGAUGAGAAAUUUUUUAGUCUUGUACAAGAAACUAAGGUCACAAUUUGGAAGUAAAAUAUUAUCUAUAUACAAGAUCAAUAUAAUAAGCUUGCUCCCACUAAUUUUUAUAUAUAAAUAGUGAUCGACAUCAUUUUUUUUAAGAUUCGAAAAAAGUAAUGAUAUCAAGAAACUUUAUAUACCAUUGUUUGUAUUUCUGAUCAUAAAUAUAUUUUAAAAUUUAUAUAUAAAAUUUUUUUCUCUAUGAAUUGUUUAGUUUAAUCCAUAUAAAUCUUCUCAUCGAGAUUCUUAUUCAAAAGUUACUUUUAUAUCCAUAUGAUAUAAUACAAAAUCAGAAUGAAUUAUUAAUAUUAUGAUGAUUCUUAACAAGUUUAUUUAAAAAAUUAUAAAAAUUAUCUCGUUAUGAUCGAUAUAUUCUUUAUGAGUAAAAUUCUUGGUCACAAGUUUAACUUUUAUAUCGUUUGAUAUUACUCAUUGAAUAAUGUUUAUAGAUAACAAAACAACUUGAUGAGUUUCUUAAAAGCUAUUUUGGUGCAUUGAUCGAAACUUUUUUUUAAUAUAUUAUAUUAUUUUUUAUAAUCGUUACAAUGAGGAACUUUUUAAUUCCUAUUUCACAAUAUGAUUUUUUCAAAUGUACUAUAUAAACUAUAUAAUGAUAGGUCUUAUUUUUCUUUGAGAUCUUCUUAGAACUAUCGAUUGUGAUUAUUUUAUAAGAUCAUUAGCGAUUGAUAUCAACAUCAUAUAGGAGUUCAUCAAUAUUAUUCUAUUAUUCACCCACAUCAAUUCUUUUAGUAAUUUAAUAAACAAUAAUCACUUGAAUAUAAAAUGAUAAAAGAGUAUCAACAUGUAUUUUUUCAAUAUCAAGAUUAAAUUUUAAAAUUUUUAUUUUCACUAAUUUGUUAUUUUUUAAGAAUCUUGUAUUACCAAAUUUAAUUAUCAUCGUACUACGAUAAAGUUAAUAAAAUAAAUAUUCCUAUGAUUUUUUUAGAUAAAUAAUAAAAUAUCUAAAUAUAAUCCUUGAAUCUAAUUAUUUUUCAUAUAAAUUGAAGAUCCUUAUCUGUGUAGGAUAAUUAUAAAUAUAUAAAUAUCUUAGUUUUCGACUAGUCCAUAACAAAAAAAUAUAUAAUGAAAUUGACUUAAUAGAAACUUUAUUCAAGAUAUAAUCAUCCUUGGAGUAUCUACUCAUAUUAAUUCGAGUAUAAAAGAAUAACUCAUAAUACUUAUAACCAUAUCCGUAAGAGUAUGAUUUCGUCUUUCAACAAUCUCAUUUUGUUGUGUUACUUUUGAUAAGAUAUACUAAGCACAAAUACCUCGUUAUUCUAAUAAUCUAACAAAAGACAUAAAAUUAUGAUUCAAUUCAUCAAGACGAUAUCAUAAAACUUAUCAUCCUUGUCAGAUCUGAUAAUUUUAAUUUUUAUCUGAUUAUCUUAUCAUAGAUAUAAAUAUAUAUAAUUUAAUAAAAUUAUAAUUUUAUUUUAAUAUUUAAUUAUAGAACCAUUAUAAACUUCGAUACAGUCUUCUCGGACAAGAGGUUGGGCUGCAGUCAUUGGUGGCCGGCAUGUUGCUUAUGAGUUGGGAGACUAAGAAGAGUAAGAGAGGCGGGGUCGGACUUUAUACUAAGCUACAACUUCAAGUAUAAGGUGACGAACAACACACUGAUCAUCUACGCAUUAAUAUGACAUCGAUAUGACAUACGCAACCCGUAGUUAAAAGAAUUGUGUUUCACGGCCAUGACACUGCUAGCGUGAACUAUUUAUUGAUAUGUUUCUCCCUCAUCCGAUGAUGAUGAUGUUUCUCCCUCCUCCGAGCAUCACACCCAUGAAAAGAUGAUACGAAACAAAUGGUUGGAUGGAAAGAAUGUUUACAUUUGGGAUACCGUUAUAUCAUUGUAAGCAUCAGCUGGAACUGCUUAACGAAACCCACCUGCCGGUCAAUUUGAAUUGGUCGUGUCGGCCGAUUGCCACGAGUUAAGUUUCGAGACAAGAUCGAUCAUGUCGUUCGUACAUUUGAUUAACCUUUGGGUUGCCUGCAAAUACGGCACUGUACGCAGCUUGUGGAUCCAGUCGACGUGAACUCACGCGCAUGCCAUGCCAUGCCAUGUCGUUCCCAUAAUGAAAGAAAAUUUGAAUCAUUAUCCAUCCUUUUCUUCUAAUAUAUAUAAUAACGGAUGGACAUAUUUUUUUCUAGAAUUGUAAUAUACUAGUAGGCAUGUGACCAGCGAUGUUUCCAAAAAUAUAAAAAAUAAAAAAUAAAAAAGAGAGCUAAGAGCCGAUGAUUUGAAGGAAACUUAGCACAAGUAUAAAGGAUAUUCGAACGAUAUGAAUUUUAACGAAGAUCUCGAAGGUAAUAUAAAUCUAUCGAAUAGCCUUCAAUCAACCUCAUGAACAUAUUUAUAGUUUAGAAAUUUAUAUGAUGGAUAUGAUGGGUAGAUAUGAUCGAUCAGUAUUAAUGCAUGGAUAUGAUGGAUAGAUAUGAUCGAUAAGUAUUUACUUUUUUUUAAAUAAAAAAUAAAAUAAAGAUAAAAUUGGAACUUAGAACCUUAUAUAAACUAUGGAUCAGAAUAUUUAUAAAUUAAACUAACUAAUAUAUUCAAAAUAUAUCAAUUAAAAUUUUAAAUUCUUAGUCUUUGAUAAAUAUAUUUGAUACAUCAUCACAGUACUAAUAUAAGAUGUACCGAUCAUAUACUUAUUCCAACAUUGCAUAAAGUAGGACUAGUCAGCGUGUCAUUGCGUGAUAGUAUUGCGACCUCGUAGUCAUGACAUGAUCAAUCCUCCUACUUGUAGUAUACAAAUAUUCUUUUGUUUGUUUUCCUUUUCUAUCUUAUGUCGAAACAAAAUAGUCGCCUAAACUACUACACAUAAAAUAUACAUUCAAAAUAUUUCACUUGACAUUUUAAACCCUUACUAUUUAAUAAAUAUAUCAUACGUGUGACUAGUCAGCAUAUCCACGUUUGACUUCAAUGAGCCUUUUGGUCAUCUCCGUGAUAGUCUGGCGAUCUCGUAGUCAUGAUCAAGCAACGUGAGCAAUCCUCCUACUUGUAGUAUACAAGUAUUCCUUUGUUUUGUUUUCUUUUUCUAUCUUCUGUGAAAACAAAAUAGUUGCCUAAACUGCUACACAUAAAGUAUGCAUUGCAAGAAAAAUAUGACACAAUAAAUCUAGGGCUCUUAAUCUUCUCGCCAAUGGCAUGCAUGCAUCAAGACAUUUGAACUUUGCGUACCUCUACGCUAAGAUAUUCAGUGCUUCGACGCAUAUAAAUCUCAUCCCAACGAUUACUCCCUUAUCAAUUUGAUCCGGGUUUAUAGAGCUCCUCCAUUAUCGCCUCCCUCAUCAUCAUCUCUCUUUGUAAGGAUGGGAUUCACCAAGGGAGUGGUGCAGCAGCUGAGCCCCGAGGAGGAGGAGGAGGCACGCUUGCUCGCCAUGAGGCUUGUGACGGGAUCCUGCCUCCCAAUGAUUCUCAAUGUGGCCAUCGAGCUCGAGCUCCUCGAGAUCAUCGUCAAGGCUGGCCCCGGCGCCAAGCUGAGUCCCGACGACAUCGCCACCCAGCUGCCCACCGAGAACCCACAGGCGGCCGAUAUGGUAGACCGGAUCCUCCGCCUGCUCGCCGCCAACGGCGUCGUCAGUUGCUCUGUGGAAUCCGGCGACGAUGGGCGCCCCUCGUGCAAGUACGGGGCCACGCCUGUCUGCAAGUACCUGACCAAGAACGAGGACGGCGUGUCCAUGGCCGCUUUCUGCUUGAUGGUCCACGACAAGGUCACCAUGGAGAGCUGGUAGUCGACGGAGCCAACAACGUCUACUCUUACUCGUUUCUUCUCGCACUAAAAAGUUGGCCGAAGGAUUAAUCAGCUUAUUGGUUUUGCCUCCACAACGAUCGCAG
rnacentral:lncRNA from 1 species